UACGGAGGGGGCUAGCGUUGUUCGGAAUUACUGGGCGUAAAGCGCACGUAGGCGGCUUUACAAGUCAGGGGUGAAAGCCCGCGGCUCGACCGCGGAAUUGCCCUUGAGACUGUAUCGCUUGAACACGGGAGAGGUGAGUGGAAUUCCGAGUGUAGAGGUGAAAUUCGUAGAUAUUCGGAAGAACACCAGUGGCGAAGGCGGCUCACUGGACCGUUGUUGACGCUGAGGUGCGAAAGCGUGGGGAGCAAACAGG
rnacentral:rRNA from 1 species